AAAAAAGACAAGGAAAAUAAGAAAGGCCAAUGCUCAGUCCCGUCUCGGCUCAGUCUCUGUCCAGCCUCUGACGCUCAAACAGCUCCGUCGUAGCUGUUCACAAUUAUUGUUUCCUCCCAAUUUGAAUUAUUUUUAUUUGUUGCUGCUCUAUACCGUGUAUACUGUCGACAGUAUGCGAUUCUUGAUUUUGAUUCUGUCGGCGGCCCUAAUUGCCUUCACUUCGGCAGGGGCCGUGUCGGAGCGACUGAAAAUGACGAUGGACAAAUACCAGAAAAUCGAAGUGAAUUUACCAGAGAAUCGGCCCAUCACGUCGAGAGGUAGAAACCAAAUUCCGGCCGGAUU